rnacentral:rRNA from 1 species
UACGAAGGGGGCUAGCGUUGCUCGGAAUUACUGGGCGUAAAGGGCGCGUAGGCGGACAGUUUAGUCAGAGGUGAAAGCCCAGGGCUCAACCUUGGAAAUGCCUUUGAUACUGGCUGUCUUGAGUUCGGGAGAGGUGAGUGGAAUGCCGAGUGUAGAGGUGAAAUUCGUAGAUAUUCGGCGGAACACCAGUGGCGAAGGCGACUCACUGGCUCAUUACUGACGCUCAGGCGCGAUAGCGUGGGGAUCAAACAGG